rnacentral:rRNA from 1 species
AGUGAACGCUGGCGGUAGGCCUAACACAUGCAAGUCGAACGGCAGCACAGUAAGAGCUUGCUCCUACGGGUGGCGCGUGGCGGACGGGUGAGGAAUACAUCGGAAUCUACUUUUUCGUGGGGGAUAACGUAGGGAAACUUACGCUAAUACCGCAUACGACCUACGGGUGAAAGCAGGGGAUCUUCGGACCUUGCGCGAUUGAAUGAGCCGAUGUCGGAUUAGCUAGUUGGCGGGGUAAAGGCCCACCAAGGCGACGAUCCGUAGCUGGUCUGAGAGGAUGAUCAGCCACACUGGAACUGAGACACGGUCCAGACUCCUACGGGAGGCAGCAGUGGGGAAUAUUGGACAAUGGGCGCAAGCCUGAUCCAGCCAUACCGCGUGGGUGAAGAAGGCCUUCGGGUUGUAAAGCCCUUUUGUUGGGAAAGAAAAGCAGCAGGUUAAUACCCCGCUGUUCUGACGGUACCCAAAGAAUAAGCACCGGCUAACUUCGUG